rnacentral:rRNA from 1 species
GCGUGAGUGAUGAAGGCCUUAGGGUUGUAAAGCUCUUUUAGCAGGGAAGAUAAUGACUGUACCUGCAGAAUAAGCUCCGGCUAACUUCGUGCCAGCAGCCGCGGUAAUACGAAGGGAGCUAGCGUUGUUCGGAAUCACUGGGCGUAAAGCGCACGUAGGCGGAUUUGUUAGUGAGGGGUGAAAUCCCGGGGCUCAACCUCGGAACUGCCUUUCAUACUGCAGAUCUCGAGUCCGAUAGAGGUGGGUGGAAUUCCUAGUGUAGAGGUGAAAUUCGU